GUAUAUUAAAGUUGUUGCAGUUAAAAAGCUCGUAGUUGGAUCUAGGGACGCGCAUUUCAAGCGCCCGUGCCGUCGGGUCAAACCGGCGGCUGCGUUGGCGUUGCGGGCUCGGUCCGUCGGUGCCCCACAAAGGGCUAUCGGCGUGUCAACCGGCCCGCCCGUCCCCUCCUUCUGGAUUCCCGUUCCUGCUAUUGAGUUAGUGGGGACGUCACAGGGGGUCCAUCGUCGUCGGGUCAAACCGGCGGCGGUGGGUCCCUGGGGCCCAGAUCGUUUACCGUGAAAAAAUUAGAGUGUUCAAAGCAGGCAGAUCCAAUUUUCUGCCACCGAAUACAUUAGCAUGGGAUAAUGGAAUAGGACCCUGUCCUCCUAUUUUCAGUUGGUUUUGGCAGCGCGAGGACUAGGGUAAUGAUUAAUAGGGAUAGUUGGGGGCAUUAAUAUUUAAUUGUCAGAGGUGAAAUUCUUGGAUUUAUGAAAGAUUAACUUCUGCGAAAGCAUCUGCCAAGGAUGUUUUCAUUAAUCAAGAACGAAAGUUAGGGGAUCGAAGACGAUCAGAUACCGUCGUAGUCUUAACCAUAAACGAUGCCGACCAGCGAUUAGGAGACGUUGAAUACAAAACACCACCAUCGGUGCGGUCGUCCUUGGCGUCGGUCUUUCGGGGCCGGCGCGGGGACGGCUUAGCCCGGUGGCACCGGUGAAUGACUCCCCUAGCAGCUUGUGAGAAAUCAUAAGUCUUUGGGUUCCGGGGGGAGUAUGGUCGCAAGGCUGAAACUUAAAGGAAUUGA
rnacentral:rRNA from 1 species